rnacentral:rRNA from 1 species
AUUGAACGCUGGCGGCAGGCCUAACACAUGCAAGUCGAAUGGUAACAGGAAACAGCUUGCUGUUUCGCUGACGAGUGGCAGACGGGUGAGUAAUGUCUGGGAAACUGCCUGAUGGAGGGGGAUAACUACUGGAAACGGUAGCUAAUACCGCAUAACGUCGCAAGACCAAAGAGGGGGACCUUCGGGCCUCUUGCCAUCAGAUGUGCCCAGAUGGGAUUAGCUAGUAGGUGGGGUAACGGCUCACCUAGGCGACGAUCCCUAGCUGGUCUGAGAGGAUGACCAGCCACACUGGAACUGAGACACGGUCCAGACUCCUACGGGAGGCAGCAGUGGGGAAUAUUGCACAAUGGGCGCAAGCCUGAUGCAGCCAUGCCGCGUGUAUGAAGAAGGCCUUCGGGUUGUAAAGUACUUUCAGCGGGGAGGAAGGGAGUAAAGUUAAUACCUUUGCUCAUUGACGUUACCCGCAGAAGAAGCACCGGCUAACUCCGUG